GAUGAACGCUGGCGGCGUGCCUAAUACAUGCAAGUCGAGCGAACGGACGAGAAGCUUGCUUCUCUGAUGUUAGCGGCGGACGGGUGAGUAACACGUGGAUAACCUACCUAUAAGACUGGGAUAACUUCGGGAAACCGUAGCUAAUACCGGAUAAUAUUUUGAACCGCAUGGUUCAAAAGUGAAAGACGGUCUUGCUGUCACUUAUAGAUGGAUCCGCGCUGCAUUAGCUAGUUGGUAAGGUAACGGCUUACCAAGCCAACGAUGCGUAGCCGACCUGAGAGGGUGAUCGGACACACUGGAACUGAGACACGGUCCGGACUCCUACGGGAGGCAGCAGUAGGGAAUCUUCCGCAAUGGGCGAAAGCCUGACGGAGCAACGCCGCGUGAGUGAUGAAGGUCUUCGGAUCGUAAAACUCUGUUAUUAGGGAAGAACAUAUGUGUAAGUAACUGUGCACAUCUUGACGGUACCUAAUCAGAAAGCCACGGCUAACUACGUG
rnacentral:rRNA from 1 species